GAGGAGCUUCCCGGCUUCCGGGACCGCGCGGGCUCGUGGGGCUGCCAGGCUGCCGGGCAGGAUGGCUCUGGGCACCGAGCCGGCACUUCUCCGAGCCCAGGCUCGGGCCCGGCAGCCGCCGGCCAGCUACGAGGAGGAGCCUUACGACGCCUCGACUACUACUACCCUGCGCGAUUUCCCCCGUGGGGCCGGACGCAGCAAGGGCCGGACGCGGCGAGAGCAGCAGCUGCGCAGCAACCGGCUGCUGCCGGCCGGCCACGAGCGCAAGAUCACCCAGAAGCUCCUCAAUGGGCAGCGCAAGCGGCGCCAGCGGCAGCUGAAGCCUCGGCCGCGCACUCGCCAGGCCUGAGCGCCGGUGCGUGCGGGCCCGGGAGCCCCGCCGGUCGUAGCCCGCACCCCCUGCACCCCUGCAGGUGCAGCGGAUAGCCGAAGGACCUGUGCAGAGUAUUUUCUCCGACUCCAACUGUAGCCGAGGUCCUAAGGGGGAGAGAAUCCAUGCUGGUGGAUAGAACUCUUCAACGUCGCUUAAGUUUACUGCUUCACUGUCUUUCUCUUACUAGUUGAUUGUUAGGUAACAGCCAAGGGCGUAUGCCUUUUUAGGAUUUUCUAAUUAAAAGGGAACAGCAAGAAUGGCA